rnacentral:rRNA from 1 species
GACGAACGCUGGCGGCGUGCCUAAUACAUGCAAGUAGAACGCACAGUUUAUACCGUAGCUUGCUACACCGUAAACUGUGAGUUGCGAACGGGUGAGUAACGCGUAGGUAACCUGCCUGGUAGCGGGGGAUAACUAUUGGAAACGAUAGCUAAUACCGCAUAAUAUUGAUUAUUGCAUGAUAAUUGAUUGAAAGAUGCUAUUGCAUCACUACCAGAUGGACCUGCGUUGUAUUAGCUAGUAGGUGAGGUAACGGCUCACCUAGGCGACGAUACAUAGCCGACCUGAGAGGGUGAUCGGCCACACUGGGACUGAGACACGGCCCAGACUCCUACGGGAGGCAGCAGUAGGGAAUCUUCGGCAAUGGACGAAAGUCUGACCGAGCAACGCCGCGUGAGUGAAGAAGGUUUUCGGAUCGUAAAGCUCUGUUGUAAGAGAAGAACGGGUGUGAGAGUGGAAAGUUCACACUGUGACGGUAUCUGACCAGAAAGGGACGGCUAACUACGUG